AGUGAACGCUGGCGGUAGGCCUAACACAUGCAAGUCGAACGGCAGCACAGGAGAGCUUGCUCUCUGGGUGGCGAGUGGCGGACGGGUGAGGAAUACAUCGGAAUCUACUCUGUCGUGGGGGAUGACGUAGGGAAACUUACGCUAAUACCGCAUACGACCUACGGGUGAAAGCAGGGGACCUUCGGGCCUUGCGCGAUUGAAUGAGCCGAUGUCGGAUUAGCUAGUUGGCGGGGUAACGGCCCACCAAGGCGACGAUCCGUAGCUGGUCUGAGAGGAGGAUCAGCCACACUGGAACUGAGACACGGUCCAGACUCCUACGGGAGGCAGCAGUGGGGAAUAUUGGACAAUGGGCGCAAGCCUGAUCCAGCCAUACCGCGUGGGUGAAGAAGGCCUUCGGGUUGUAAAGCCCUUUUGUUGGGAAAGAAAUCCAGCUGGCUAAUACCCGGUUGGGAUGACGGUACCCAAAGAAUAAGCACCGGCUAACUUCGUGCCAGCCGCCGCGGUAA
rnacentral:rRNA from 1 species